GACGAACGCUGGCGGCGUGCUUAACACAUGCAAGUCGAACGAUGAGCCCGGAGCUUGCUCCGGUGGAUUAGUGGCGAACGGGUGAGUAACACGUGAGUAACCUGCCCUUGACUCUGGGAUAACUGCGGGAAACUGUAGCUAAUACCGGAUACGACCCUCGGCGGCAUCGCCAGGGGGUGGAAAGAAUUUCGGUCAAGGAUGGACUCGCGGCCUAUCAGCUAGUUGGUGAGGUAACGGCUCACCAAGGCGACGACGGGUAGCCGGCCUGAGAGGGUGACCGGCCACACUGGGACUGAGACACGGCCCAGACUCCUACGGGAGGCAGCAGUGGGGAAUAUUGCACAAUGGGCGCGAGCCUGAUGCAGCAACGCCGCGUGAGGGAUGACGGCCUUCGGGUUGUAAACCUCUUUUAGUAGGGAAGAAGCGAAAGUGACGGUACCUGCAGAAAAAGCACCGGCUAACUACGUGCCAGCAGCCGCAGUAA
rnacentral:rRNA from 1 species